GCCGGGCCUGGUGGCCUGCGCCUGUAAUCCCAGCUACUCGGGAGGCUGAGGCAGGAGAAUCGCUUGAACCUGGGAGGCGGAGACUGCAGUGAGCCGAGAUUGAGCCACUGUGCUCCAGCCUGGGUGACACAGCAAGACUGCAUCUCAAAAAAAGAAAUUUUAUUUUAUUUUCAUUAUUAUUAUUAUUUUUUGAGAUGGAGUUUGGCUCUUGUUGCCCAGGCUGGAGUGCAAUGGUGUAAUCUCGGCUCACUGCAACCUCUGCCUCCCGGGUUCAAGCGAUUCUCCUGCCUCAG
rfam:Gorilla gorilla gorilla genomic chromosome, chr1, whole genome shotgun sequence